rnacentral:RNase_P_RNA from 1 species
UUGCCAGUCUAAACUGUCGCGCUGGUUUGGUUGCACCAGAAAUGGUGCGGUCAAACGGUGAGGAAAGUCCGAGCAUCACAGAGCAGGACGCUUGCUAACGGCAAGCCAAAGUAAUUUGAGGAAAAGGGCAACAGAAAUAAACCGCCAAGAAUUUUCUUGGUAAGGGUGGAAAGGUGGGGUAAGAGCCCACAAGUUUGUAUGGCGACAUACAUCCGCUGUAAACUCCGUUCGAUGCAAGACAAGAGGGGACGCCAGUUUUUCAAGGGAAACCUAAAAAACAAGACGUAUGGUUGCUCGCCAGCACCCUCGAAAAGUCGCAAAAGAACCGCCCAGCAAUGGUCGGUCAAGAUAGAUGGCAGUUGAAUACAGAACUCGGCUUACAGGCUGACAAAUUU